AGAGUUUGAUCCUGGCUCAGAACGAACGCUGACGGUAUGCCUCAUACAUGCAAGUCGAGCGGGCACAGCAAUGUGUCAGCGGCGAACGGGUGAGUAACGCGUGAACAAUCUGCCUCUGAAUUUGGGAUAACGGUUCCAACGAGCCGCUAAUACCGGAUAGGUUAUUCUGGCCGCAUGGUCGGAUUAAGAAAGUCGCAAUUGCGACGUUCAGAGAUGAGUUCGCGUCCCAUUAGCUAGUUGGCGGGGUAACGGCCCACCAAGGCGACGAUGGGUAGCCGGCCUGAGAGGGUGAUCGGCCACAUUGGGACUGAGAUACGGCCCAGACUCCUACGGGAGGCAGCAGUAGGGAAUUUUGCGCAAUGGACGAAAGUCUGACGCAGCAAUACCGUGUGAGGGAUGAAGCAUUUCGGUGUGUAAACCUCUGUCGAUGAUGAAUAAAGCAUUCGAGAGUGGAAAGCUCGGGUGUUGAAGGUAAUCAUGAAGGAAGCACCGGCUAACUCUGUGCCAGCAGCCGCGGUAAUACAGGGGGUGCAAGCGUUGUUCGGAAUUACUGGGCGUAAAGGGAGCGUAGGCGGAUCUACAAGACAGAGGUCAAAUCUCCGGGCUCAACCUGGAACUUGCCUUUGUGACUGUGGAUCUUGAGUAUGGUAGAGGUUGGCGGAAUUUCCGGUGUAGCGGUGGAAUGCGUAGAGAUCGGAAAGAACACCAGAGGCGAAGGCGGCCAACUGGACCAAUACUGACGCUGAGGCUCGAAAGCGUGGGGAGCAAACAGGAUUAGAUACCCUGGUAGUCCACGCUGUAAACGAU
rnacentral:rRNA from 1 species